GCAGGUGUGGCGAAAUUGGCAGACGCGCUAGACUUAGGAUCUAGUUCCUUACGGAGUGGGGGUUCAAGUCCCUUCACCUGCACCA
rnacentral:tRNA from 5 species